GGCUUUUCUCCUAUGUUUUCUUCUAAAAGUUUCAUAAGUUUAGCUUUUAUGUUUAGAGCUACGAGCCAUUUCAAAUGAGUCUUUCUAAAUAGUAUGAGGUAGGGGUUGAGUUUAACUCUUUUGUUUUGUUUUGUUUCUGCGUGGGGAUAGCCAAUUUUUCAGCACCAUUUGUUGAAGAGAUUUUCAUCUCUCUCUUGAAUUACCUCGGCGCCUUUCUCAAAAAUUAAUUGAUUCUACAUGAGUGGGUCUGUUUCUGAGCUCACCAUUUUCCCUCUUCUGAUCUAUAAGCCGGUUUCCCCUAAGCCUCGAUAUCGCAUUGCCUGGAUGACUGUUGAUUUACAGUACAUCUUACAAUCAGGAGUGUGGUCCUAAACCCUGCUCUUCUUUUUUAAAACUGUCUUGGCCGUUCUAAGUCCUUUGUGUUUCUACAUACAUUUUAUAACUAGCUCCUCAGUUUCUUUAAAAAAAAAAGUCUCCUGAGGUUUUGUUUGGGGCAAUACCAAAUCUAUCCACCAAUUCCAGGAGAAUUGACAGUAUAAUGAUGCAGAGUCAUAAGAAUGAUACAGCUCUCCAUUUAUUUGGAUUUUAUGUAAUUUUUCUCAAGGUUGUUUAAUAGUUUGUACACCUCUUGUUUGAUUUAAUAAUAAAAUUACAUAAAUUUUGUAUAAGUGCAUCUGAAAUAAGUGUCUCAUAUUCUUUGAUAUCCUUGUAAAUGGAAUUUUAAAACCUUCCAUUUGCCAAUUUUCACCACAUUUCUAACACAUAGAAAAUUCCAAAUCACUUUGUGACUCUAGUGUAUAAACAUACAAUGGACCUUUGUGUGUGGACCUUGUGUUCUACAGUCUUGUUACAUUCAUUUGCUAGUUUUAGCAGCUUUUCAUGGAUUCCUUAGAUCUCUCUGCACAGAUUAUCAUGUCUCUGUGGAUAACGCUGGUUUUAUCUCUUCCUUUCUGAACUCUAAGCCUUUUAUUUAUUCUCCUCGCAGGAACCCUGCAGUAGACAGAACAGCGUCCCUCUAAGGACCGGUACAUGGUGACCUUUAACUCUGUGAAUAAGUCAGCAGACAUGGCCAAGGGCACUGAAGUUCGGGGAUAGAAUUAAGGUUGCUAACCAGCGACUUCAAGAGAUUGUUCUAGACUAUCCGGUGGACCCCUGUAACCACCGGGGCCCUCAUGAGGGAAGAGGUUGGUGAGGAGGGGGUCAGAGUGAUGAGUGAGAAGGGUUCAGCCGUGGUUGCUGGCUUUGAAGAAGGAGGAAGGGGCCGCGAGCUGAGAAAUGCCCGCAGCUUCUAGAAGCUGGAAAAGGCAAGGAAACAGAUUCCCCCCGAGAGCCUCCAGAAGGAGCCAGCCCUGCCCGCACUUUGGCUCUAGCCUGAUGAGAUCCGUGUCAGACUCCUGCCGGAACUGUAAGAUAAUAAAUACAUAGGGUUUUAGGGCACAGAGUGUGUGGUAAUUUGUCACAGCGGCCCCAGAAAACCAAACAGCCUCCAAUGAUGAAUAAAAGAGGUGACAGUGGACAGAAGAUGCACUUUAAAUUCAGUACAUCGAUUUUUAGAAUGAUGCUCCUUACAAUCACGAUUGAAGCGGUGGUCGUUCCCCGGACCCCUGCCGUGAACCGGCUCUGCAGUAAGAUGGGCCUGGACCGUCUCACACUAGUCUUGGUGCUUGCUGAUCCAGAGCGGAAGGACGUUUUAACUGAAGCCUCCAGCUCAAGUUCCCGGACACCCAGGCCAUUCGGUCCCUGCAUCUAAGUCCUGCUCUAGUGGCAGGGUCACCACCUGAGAAGUCUUCUCUGCCAACUGGACUUGAUCCUUGGAGCCACCCAGGCUAAGCUGAGGGUGGUGGCCAUGGAGGUCUCUGGGCAGAUUGUGGCUGGGUCCUCUGUGUGCCCCAGCCCGCCUUUGCUCCUGUCCCUGCCUCGGCGAGUUCAGACAUACCUGUGGGCAUCAGGGUAUAAAUAAAUGCUUCCCAACAUGCUUCUAAAA